UACCUAACUGGGUUAGGGCCCUGGCUCCAUCUCCUUUAGGAAAACCUUCUGUGGGGAGUGGGGCUUUGACCCUAACCCAGCUGGGCU
rnacentral:pre_miRNA from 1 species